GACGAACGCUGGCGGCGUGCUUAACACAUGCAAGUCGAACGAAGUGGCGAACGGGUGAGUAACGCGUAAUCAACCUGCCCUUCAGAGGGGGACAACAGUUGGAAACGACUGCUAAUACCGCAUACUGAAGGAGGGGAUUGCGUCUGAUUAGCUAGUUGGGGGGGUAACGGCCCACCAAGGCGAUGAUCAGUAGGCGGGCUGAGAGGGGUAACCGCCACAUUGGGACUGGGACACGGCCCAAACUCCUAAGGGAGGGAGCAAGGGGGAAUCUUCCGGAAUGGACGAAAGGCUGACGGAGCAACGCCGCGGGAGUGAAGAAGGCCUUCGGGGUGUAAAGCUCUGUUAAUCGGGACGCGGUACCGAAAUAGAAAGCCACGGCUAACUACGUGCCAGCAGCCGCGGUAAUAC
rnacentral:rRNA from 1 species